GACGAACGCUGGCGGCGUGCUUAACACAUGCGAGUCGAACGCUGAAGCUCAGCUUUUGUUGGGUGGAUGAGUGGCGAACGGGUGAGUAACACGUGAGUAACCUGCCCCCUUCUUUGGGAUAACGCCCGGAAACGGGUGCUAAUACUGGAUAUUCACUGGUCUUCGCAUGGGGGUUGGUGGAAAGGGUUUUUCUGGUGGGGGAUGGGCUCGCGGCCUAUCAGCUUGUUGGUGGGGUGAUGGCCUACCAAGGCUUUGACGGGUAGCCGGCCUGAGAGGGUGACCGGUCACAUUGGGACUGAGAUACGGCCCAGACUCCUACGGGAGGCAGCAGUGGGGAAGAUUGCACAAUGGGCGCAAGCCUGAUGCAGCGACGCCGCGUGAGGGAUGGAGGCCUUCGGGUUGUGAACCUCUUUCGCUCAUGGUCAAGCCGCAACAAUGGUUGUGGUGAGGGUAGUGGGUAAAGAAGCGCCGGCUAACUACGUG
rnacentral:rRNA from 1 species